rnacentral:rRNA from 1 species
CACGUAGGGGCCAAGCGUUGUCCGGAUUCAUUGGGCGUAAAGCGCGUGUAGGCGGCCAGAUAAGUCCGCUGUGAAAUCUCGAGGCUCAACUUCGAGCUGUCGGUGGAAACUGUCUGGCUAGAGUCCGGAAGAGGAGAAUGGAAUUCCUGGUGUAGCGGUGAAAUGCGCAGAUAUCAGGAAGAACACCAAUGGCGAAAGCAGCUCUCUGGGACGGUACUGACGCUGAGACGCGAAAGCGUGGGGAGCGAACAGG